UACAGAGGUCUCAAGCGUUUGUUCGGAUUCAUUGGGCGUAAAGGGUGCGUAGGCGGCGCGGUAAGUCGGGUGUGAAAUCUCGGAGCUUAACUCCGAAACUGCAUUCGAUACUGCCGUGCUUGAGGACUGGAGAGGAGACUGGAAUUUACGGUGUAGCGGUGAAAUGCGUAGAUAUCGUAAGGAAGACCAGUGGCGAAGGCGGGUCUCUGGACAGUUCCUGACGCUGAGGCACGGAGGGGUCAGGGGGAGCAAAACGGGGAUUAGAAA
rnacentral:rRNA from 1 species